rnacentral:rRNA from 1 species
GAUGAACGCUGGCGGCGUGCCUAAUACAUGCAAGUCGAGCGAACGGACGAGAAGCUUGCUUCUCUGAUGUUAGCGGCGGACGGGUGAGUAACACGUGGAUAAGCUACCUAUAAGACUGGGAUAACUUCGGGAAACCGGAGCUAAUACCGGAUAAUAUUUUGAACCGCAUGGUUCAAAAGUGAAAGACGGUCCUGCUGUCACUUAUAGAUGGAUCCGCGCUGCAUUAGCUAGUUGGUAAGGUAACGGCUUACCAAGGCAACGAUGCAUAGCCGACCUGAGAGGGUGAUCGGCCACACUGGAACUGAGACACGGUCCAGACUCCUACGGGAGGCAGCAGUAGGGAAUCUUCCGCAAUGGGCGAAAGCCUGACGGAGCAACGCCGCGUGAGUGAUGAAGGUCUUCGGAUCGUAAAACUCUGUUAUUAGGGAAGAACAUAUGUGUAAGUAACUGUGCACAUCUUGACGGUACCUAAUCAGAAAGCCACGGCUAACUACGUG